GAUGAACGCUGGCGGCGUGCCUAAUACAUGCAAGUCGAGCGAACAGAUAAGGAGCUUGCUCCUUUGACGUUAGCGGCGGACGGGUGAGUAACACGUGGGUAACCUACCUAUAAGACUGGGAUAACUUCGGGAAACCGGAGCUAAUACCGGAUAACAUUUGGAACCGCAUGGUUCUAAAGUGAAAGAUGGUUUUGCUAUCACUUAUAGAUGGACCCGCGCCGUAUUAGCUAGUUGGUAAGGUAACGGCUUACCAAGGCGACGAUACGUAGCCGACCUGAGAGGGGGAUCGGCCACACUGGAACUGGCACAGGGUCCAAACCCCUACGGGAGGCAGGAGUGGGAAAUUUUCCGAAAGGGGGGAAGGCCUGACGGAGCAACGCCGCGGGGGGAAUGAAGGGUUUCGGCUCGUAAAACUCUGUUUUUAGGAAAAAAAAAACGUGUAAGUAACUGGGCACGUCUGGACGGUACCAAAUAAAAAAGCCACGGCAAACUACGU
rnacentral:rRNA from 1 species